GGUGAGUAAUGCCUGGGAAAUUGCCCUGAUGUGGGGGAUAACCAUUGGAAACGAUGGCUAAUACCGCAUAAUAGCUUCGGCUCAAAGAGGGGGACCUUCGGGCCUCUCGCGUCAGGAUAUGCCCAGGUGGGAUUAGCUAGUUGGUGAGGUAAGGGCUCACCAAGGCGACGAUCCCUAGCUGGUCUGAGAGGAUGAUCAGCCACACUGGAACUGAGACACGGUCCAGACUCCUACGGGAGGCAGCAGUGGGGAAUAUUGCACAAUGGGCGCAAGCCUGAUGCAGCCAUGCCGCGUGUAUGAAGAAGGCCUUCGGGUUGUAAAGUACUUUCAGCAGUGAGGAAGGUGGAGUCGUUAAUAGCGGCCUCAUUUGACGUUAGCUGCAGAAGAAGCACCGGCUAACUCCGUGCCAGCAGCCGCGGUAAUACGGAGGGUGCGAGCGUUAAUCGGAAUUACUGGGCGUAAAGCGCAUGCAGGUGGUUUGUUAAGUCAGAUGUGAAAGC
rnacentral:rRNA from 1 species